rnacentral:rRNA from 1 species
CACGUAGGGACCAAGCGUUUGUCCGGAUUCAUUGGGCGUAAAGAGCUCGUAGGCGGCCACUCAAGUCGAAUGUGAAACCUCGAGGCUUAACCUCGAGCCUGCAUUCGAUACUGGGCGGCUAGAGUCUGGUAGGGGGAUCUGGAAUUCCUGGUGUAGCGGUGAAAUGCGCAGAUAUCAGGAAGAACACCCGUGGCUAAGGCGGUUCUCUAGUACGGUACUGACGCUGAGACGCGAAAGCGUGGGGGAGCGAACAGG